rnacentral:RNase_P_RNA from 1 species
GGAGUCGGCCAGGUGAUCGCUGCGUUUCUCACGAAAUGUGGAGGAAAGUCCGGGCUCCUUCGGACACGAUGCCAGGUAACGCCUGGGGGGCGCGAGCCCACGGAAAGUGCAACAGAAAGAUACCGCCUGCGCAGGUUUUUCCCUCGGGAAACGCCGGCGGGUAAGGGUGAAAUGGUGCGGUAAGAGCGCACCGCGCGGCCGGUAACGGGCGUGGCACGGCAAACCCCAUCGGGAGCAAGGCCAAAUAGGGAAGUCGCGGGGAAACUCGCAGCGCCGUGUCCGAGCGUGACUUCCGGGUAGGCUGCUACAGGCGUUCGGUGACGGGCGUCGCAGAGGAAUGAUCACCCUCGACAGAACCCGGCUUAUCGGCCGACUCCCCGU